GAUGAACGCUGGCGGCGUGCCUAAUACAUGCAAGUCGAGCGAAUGGAUUAAGAGCUUGCUCUUAUGAAGUUAGCGGCGGACGGGUGAGUAACACGUGGGUAACCUGCCCAUAGGACUGCGAUAACUCCGGGAAACCGGGGCUAAUACCGGAUAACAUUUUGAACCGCAUGGUUUGAAAUUGAAAGGCGGCUUCGGCUGUCACUUAUGGAUGGACCCGCGUCGCAUUAGCUAGUUGGUGAGGUAACGGCGCACCAAGGCAACGAUGCGUAGCCGACCUGAGAGGGUGAUCGGCCACACUGGGACUGAGACACGGCCCAGACUCCUACGGGAGGCAGCAGUAGGGAAUCUUCCGCAAUGGACGAAAGUCUGACGGAGCAACGCCGCGUGAGUGAUGAAGGCUUUCGGGCCGUAAAACUCUGUUGUUAGGGAAGAACAAGUGCUAGUUGAAUAAGCUGGCACCUUGACGGUACCUAACCAGAAAGCCACGGCUAACUACGUGCCAGCCGCCGCAGUAA
rnacentral:rRNA from 1 species